GAUGAACGCUGGCGGCGUGCUUAACACAUGCAAGUCGAACGAAGCACUUUAUUUGAUUUCCUUCGGGACUGAUUAUUUUGUGACUGAGUGGCGGACGGGUGAGUAACGCGUGGGUAACCUGCCUUGUACAGGGGGAUAACAGUUGGAAACGGCUGCUAAUACCGCAUAAGCGCACAGCAUCGCAUGAUGCAGUGUGAAAAACUUCGGUGGUAUAAGAUGGACCCGCGUUGGAUUAGCUAGUUGGUGAGGUAACGGCCCACCAAGGCGACGAUCCAUAGCCGACCUGAGAGGGUGACCGGCCACAUUGGGACUGAGACACGGCCCAAACUCCUACGGGAGGCAGCAGUGGGGAAUAUUGCACAAUGGGCGAAAGCCUGAUGCAGCGACGCCGCGUGAGCGAAGAAGUAUUUCGGUAUGUAAAGCUCUAUCAGCAGGGAAGAUAAUGACGGUACCUGACUAAGAAGCACCGGCUAAAUACGUG
rnacentral:rRNA from 1 species